rnacentral:rRNA from 1 species
CCAGCAGCCGCGGUAAUUCCAGCUCCAAUAGCGUAUAUUAAAGUUGUUGCAGUUAAAACGCUCGUAGUUGAAUAUCUGCUAUAUGUGGUCGGUCCAUUUCGGUGUGAUCCGUUUCACGAAUUAGCAUUCGUUUGCUUUGAUUUAUCAUUGCAAACCGUUUACUUUGAGGAAAUUAUAGUGUUCAAAGCAGGCAAGUGCCUUGAAUACUUCAGCAUGGAAUAAUUGAUAGGACUUCCGUUCUGUCGUUGGUUCUGGGAAUGUGAAGUAAUGAUUAAAAGGGGCGGGCGGGGGCAUUCGUAUUGAACAGUCAGAGGUGAAAUUCUUAGAUUUGUUCAAGACGAACU